rnacentral:rRNA from 1 species
AUGUCGGAGAAGUUUGAGAUGUCGAUGAUGAGUGAACUCAAAUUCUUUCUCGGUUUGCAAAUAAAGCAAACUAGGGAAGGUACCUUUGUCUCUCAAACAAAGUACACCAAGGACUUAUUCAAGAAGUUCAAUAUGCAAGAAUGCAAAGGUACGACUACACCCAUGCCUACUAGUGGACAUCUUGAUUUGACCAAAGAUGGUGAACCGGUUGAUCAAAAAGUUUACCGCUCUAUGAUUGGUUCAUUGUUAUAUCUAUGUGCCUCUCGUCCCGAUAUUAUGCUAAGUGCGUGCAUGUGUGCACGAUAUCAAGCUGCACCUAAAGAAUGUCAUCUUAAGGCUGUGAAAAGGAUAGUGAGAUACUUAAUACAUACACCAAAUUUUGGCAUUUGGUAUCCUAAGAGGUCUUCCUUUGACCUUGUUGGCUACUCCGAUUCGGACUAUGCCGGAGACAAGGUUGAUAGAAAGUCCACUACGGGUACUUGUCAAUUUCUUAGUAUAUCUCUUGUGUCUUGGUCCUCCAAGAAACAAAACUCGGUAUCCUUAUCCACCGCCGAAGCGGAAUACAUUGCCGCUGGUUCAUGUUGUGCUCAAUUACUUUGGAUGACCCAAACUCUAAAAGAUUAUGGGAUAUAUGUGAAACAUGUUCCAUUGCUGUGUGACAAUGAAAGUGCUAUUAAGAUUGCUCACAAUCCCGUGCAACAUUCUCGAACUAAACAUAUUGAAGUUCGUCAUCAUUUCAUUCGAGACCAUGUUGCCAAAGGGGACAUUAAUCUUAAACAUGUUCACACCGAUAAGCAAUUAGCGGAUAUAUUUACCAAACCGCUUGAUGAGAAAGUCUUUUGCCGUUUGAGAGGUGAACUUCAAAUUUGGAGUAGGAACUCCAUUUGGAUACAUGCAAUGCAUGAGUCUUUGACUAAUCCUUAA